GGGACACACCGGGCCCUAGCUGGCUUCCUUCCCCUGGGAAGAGUGGGGGUCUGGUUUCCUCUCCUACGCUAUCCCUUGGUGUGAUUUGAACCUGGGUCCGGUGCCCGUUACGUUUAAUUCUCCUUUUAAUUUCCUUUAGGAGUGGAUGUGCUGUUCUUUGCUUUGCUAUGAUCUGAGCCUCUCCUGUGUGGUGUCUCUGUGUUCCCCUUUUGCCUGCUGGGGUGUGUGAACCCUAUGUGGGGUAUAGAUCUGUUUCUUAGCCAUAUAUAGGGCUUCCUACUAAGGAAGAAGUUGUGUGAAGGGGGUGAAACCUGCAUUACCACCCAAGGGGCCUUUUUAACUAGAGGCUGUACAAAAUUACAGGAGCGAUUGCAUUGGGAUUCUCUAGAGCGAAGGGCUUGAGUGUUGGAGAUUGUUUCACUGGGACGGCUGAGUAAGAGUUAUAAGGAAAACAUCAGAGUGAGAGGGUGUCAGAAAACCAAGGAGAUCUGUGUGGGCAACAGGAAGGAAGGAGCCGUUUUUGUUGGAGUAGCAUGCCAGUGGCUGAGGCCAGUAUAAAAUGAAAGCAGUUUAGAUGAUACACUGAUACUUGUAAGCAUAUGUCAAAAUAUAUUGUACAAGCUAGAAUGCCUUUAGUGAAAACUUUCUAGAUAGUGGAAGAAACAUGUUCUUGAAACUCAUUACAGUGAGCAAAUACUUCUUGUACUGCCAUAAAGGGCCCAAUCUGGUCGCGUUCCACAUGCACAAUAAUCAUUGUCUUUAGAUUUUCCUGUGCAGAACAGCUAUGGGAUCAGUAGGUUCUAUAAAACUGACAAGAACAACAAAACUAUUUGGUUUCAGAAAUAUUUUGUCUACAAAAGGACCAGUACUCCUGGCGUGCUGUUUUUAAAAAAAAGUCACUUUCUAAAGAAACAUUUUUUACGAUUAAUGCUCAAACACUACAUAGUGUAUUAGUUAAAGUUUCUACACACACAUUAUACCUAAUGUGACAGGGUCGGGCCAGAUGGCUACAAGAGAGUGUUAGAAGGCAGAUAUAUUAGUCCCAGAUUAAGUAGAUACCAUUUCUCUGGGUAAGGUAGCAGGGGCAGUUCCAGAACAAGCAGGAACUUGCUGGAACCAACUAAGGAAGGCAGGCUAAUCAGGAC